CAACGAUCUAAACCUUGCACUUCAAACUGCAAACCCUGCCUUUAAGGACGACAUUUUGAAAUGGGGAUGCAAAGUUCCUGUUGUUCCCACAAAUCCAUACGGUCCCCUAUCUGGUUAUUUGAUUUUCAAUUUAAUGCACUCAUGGCAUGAUGGAACACUACAUUUUCCAGUACCCAAGGAUGAUUUUGAACUGAGGAAGCGCUUUUUGGUUCAUAUUUUGAAGUAUGAAGAAAAUGAAGUUCUAAACAAUAUCCCAGUCUUAGAACGAAGCAUUAUAGAUCGAAUCAAAAGAUGGACCUUCCAGAG